GGUGGCUCAGUCAGUUAAGCAUCCGACUUCGGCUCAGCUCAAGUCAUGAUCUCACGGGUUCGUGAGUUCGAGACCCACAUCAGGCUCACUGCUGUCAACGCAAAGCCCACUUUAGAUCUCUAUCCUCCUCUCUCUGCCCCUCCCCUGCUCAGUGUUCUCUCUCUCAAAAAUAAAUAAAACAUUAAAAAUUUU